rnacentral:rRNA from 1 species
UACGGAGGAUCCAAGCGUUAUCCGGAAUCAUUGGGUUUAAAGGGUCCGUAGGCGGUCUGGUAAGUCAGUGGUGAAAUCCCAUCGCUCAACGGUGGAACGGCCAUUGAUACUGCCAGACUUGAAUUAUCAGGAAGUAACUAGAAUAUGUAGUGUAGCGGUGAAAUGCUUAGAGAUUACAUGGAAUACCAAUUGCGAAGGCAGGUUACUACUGAUGGAUUGACGCUGAUGGACGAAAGCGUGGGUAGCGAACAGG